rnacentral:rRNA from 1 species
GAAGANCCUUACCUGGGUUUGACAUCGCCGGAAAUCUUCCAGAGAUGGGGGGUCCCUUGGGGGCCGGUGACAGGUGGUGCAUGGCUGUCGUCAGNUCGUGUCGUGAGAUGUUGGGUUAAGUCCCGCAACGAGCGCAACCCUUGUCCUAUGUUGCCAGCAGGUGAUGGUGGGGACUCAUGGGAGACUGCCGGGGUCAACUCGGAGGAAGGUGGGGANGACGUCAAGUCAUCAUGCCCCUUAUGUCCAGGGCUUCNCGCAUGCUNCAAUGGCCGGUACAGAGGGNUGCGAUNCCGUGAGGUGGAGCGAAUCUCCUAAAGCCGGUUUCAGUUCGGAUCGGGGUCUGCAACUUGACCCCGUGAAGUCGGAGUCGNUNGUNANCGCNGANA